rnacentral:rRNA from 1 species
CCUACGGGUGGCAGCAGUGAGGAAUAUUGGUCAAUGGACGAGAGUCUGAACCAGCCAAGUAGCGUGAAGGAUGACUGCCCUAUGGGUUGUAAACUUCUUUUAUAUGGGAAUAAAAUGUUCCACGUGUGGGAUUUUGUAUGUACCAUAUGAAUAAGGAUCGGCUAACUCCGUGCCAGCAGCCGCGGUAAUACGGAGGAUCCGAGCGUUAUCCGGAUUUAUUGGGUUUAAAGGGAGCGUAGGUGGGUUGUUAAGUCAGUUGUGAAAGUUUGCGGCUCAACCGUAAAAUUGCAGUUGAAACUGGCAGGCUUGAGUACAGUAGAGGUGGGCGGAAUGCGUGGUGUAGCGGUGAAAUGCUUAGAUAUCACGAAGAACUCCGAUUGCGAAGGCAGCUCACUGGACUGGAACUGACACUGAGGCACGAAAGUGUGGGUAUCAAACAGGAUUAGAUACCCGGGUAGUC